CAGCAGCCGCGGGAAUACGUAGGGUGCAAGCGUUAAUCGGAAUUGCUGGGCGUAAAGCGUGCGCAGGCGGUUUUGUAAGACAGAGGUGAAAUCCCCGGGCUCAACCUGGGAACUGCCUUUGUGACUGCAAGGCUGGAGUGCGGCAGAGGGGGAUGGAAUUCCGCGUGUAGCAGUGAAGUGCGUAGAGAUGUGGAGGAACACCGAUGGCGAAGGCAGCCCCCUGGGCCAAUACUGACGCUCAUGCACGAAAGCGUGGGGAGCAAACAGGAUUAGAUACCCGUGUAGUCCCUGUCUCUUAUAA
rnacentral:rRNA from 1 species